CCCCUCCUACUGCAGUACAUACAGGAGGAGAUUCCUGACUAUAGAAACGCAGUGAUAGUGGCCAAAUCUCCAGCCUCAGCCAGAAGGGCCCAGUCGUUUGCAGAGCGGAUGCGUCUGGGUAUUGCAGUGAUC